rfam:Triticum aestivum genome assembly, contig: Triticum_aestivum_CS42_TGACv1_scaffold_328939_4BS
AAGGUACUCCCUCCGUACCAAAAUUCUUGUCUUAGAUUUGUCUAGAUACAGAUGUAUCCGUAUCUAGACAAAUCUAAGACAAGAAUUUUAGAACGGAGGGAGUAGUAA